GAUGAACGCUGGCGGCGUGCUUAACACAUGCAAGUCGAACGAAGCACUUAUCUUUGAUUCUUCGGAUGAAGAGGUUUGUGACUGAGUGGCGGACGGGUGAGUAACGCGUGGGUAACCUGCCUCAUACAGGGGGAUAACAGUUAGAAAUGACUGCUAAUACCGCAUAAGACCACAGAGCCGCAUGGCUCCGUGGGAAAAACUCCGGUGGUAUGAGAUGGACCCGCGUCUGAUUAGGUAGUUGGUGGGGUAACGGCCUACCAAGCCAACGAUCAGUAGCCGACCUGAGAGGGUGACCGGCCACAUUGGGACUGGGACACGGCCCAAACUCCUACGGGGGGCAGCAGUGGGGAAUAUUGCACAAUGGGGGAAACCCUGAUGCAGCGACGCCGCGUGAGCGAAGAAGUAUUUCGGUAUGUAAAGCUCUAUCAGCAGGGAAGAAGAAAUGACGGUACCUGACUAAGAAGCACCGGCUAAAUACGUG
rnacentral:rRNA from 1 species